UUUUUAGUUAAUUACAUCUAGGUUCGUACAACCUUGUUUAUCUCAUAUCUUCUUCGUUUUAACUCCGAUUUCAGCGAUUCUCAAGUUCACGCGAUCCUCUCUGCAUGAACGUUAGUUCUAGAAGUUUGUUUUAAGUCUUUUAAACUGUUUGGUGUAUUGUUUCUUAUUUAUUGUUUAUUUUUCUUGUGUGAUCGUGUAGAUGCCGUGCCAUUCGAGGAAGGCUAGGAGCAGCAGUUAGAAGAAGAGUUUCCGUAGUUUGUCGAGGAAGGCAAGUGGCUUCCCC
rnacentral:lncRNA from 1 species